GAAUAAUCGCGGGUCACCUACGAGUCGGAACCACCUAUAGUGGUCAGUACGACAAGCCUGUGCACCUAACUUGGAUCCAAGGUGAGCGUAUGGUGCGGGAGGUGAACAUUACGUGAAGGACUGUGCCCUAACCAUGGCAGGAGCACUAACACCGGGGUGCAAGUUUAUGAACUCUCAACACAUCUCACAUAAUCAUCAAUUUACAUAAACAAUCUACAACUCACCUGGUACUUACCUGAUCUUCCACAACGUCAAAUCACAUUUAUGCAUACUAUAUCAAUUCAAUGAUCUACGUAUAAAUCAAUAUGCAUGACAUUUCUAAACAUAAAUUCAUUUAAAUCGAUUUUUUGGUAAAAAUCUCAAGUAUAUAGGUAUAUACGGAAAACCAAAAGCUCACUCACUGGUAUGUGGAAGGGUCGUAACCCCCAAGCCUCGAUUGACUACGCUCGUCUUGAGGAUAGGUCUCACCUAUAUGCGAAACAACUAUAUAAACGUUAAUUUAAAGCACAUAAACAAAACUAGCUAAU
rnacentral:lncRNA from 1 species